CUGGAUCUCUCGGGGUUACAGCCUUGCUGAAUUAUUCACCCUUGUCUUUUGCGUACUUCUUGUUUCCUUGGUGGGUUCGCCCACCACUAGGACAAACAUAAACCUUUUGUAAUUGCAAUCAGCGUCAGUAACAAAUUAAUAAUUACAACUUUCAACAACGGAUCUCUUGGUUCUGGCAUCGAUGAAGAACGCAGCGAAAUGCGAUAAGUAGUGUGAAUUGCAGAAUUCAGUGAAUCAUCGAAUCUUUGAACGCACAUUGCGCCCUUUGGUAUUCCAAAGGGCAUGCCUGUUCGAGCGUCAUUUGUACCCUCAAGCUUUGCUUGGUGUUGGGCGUCUUGUCUCUAGCUUUGCUGGAGACUCGCCUUAAAGUAAUUGGCAGCCGGCCUACUGGUUUCGGAGCGCAGCACAAGUCGCACUCUCUAUCAGCAAAGGUCUAGCAUCCAUUAAGCCUUUUUUCAACUUUUGACCUCGGAUCAGGUAGGGAUACCCGCUGAACUUAAGCAUAUCAAAG
rnacentral:rRNA from 1 species